GGAAGGGAAAGGAGAAUGUUAGCCGCUUUGAGACUCCUUAGGGUAGUGAUAAAGCAGGAUAUCAAAUCCAAACUCUUCCUCCUCCUCCUCCUCCUCUUCUUCUUCCUCCAUAUUUUCUUUAUCAUUCCAGCUUCAUCCCUACUUGAGAAAAGCCCAGUCGUUUAACACCACCCAGGGUGGACUGCAUCUGGAUGAGAAUGGGGAGCUGGCAGCCGACUAUGGCAUUGUAAACUGGGUGCUGUUUCCCAAUGGGUCUCGCAGCAGAGUGAAAGUCGGGAGUGUAGAGGGACAGGCAUCCUCUGAUUUAAAACUCACCAUUAACCCGGAAGCCAUUGUGUGGCCCUUGUGGUUUAAUGAGGUAGAGCAUAUUAUCAUCUGUGUCAUUAUUAUUAUUAUUAUUAUUAUUAUUAUUAUUAUUAUUUUAAAAUGAUAUUUGUUGAAAAAAGGAUUUUCUACAAAAUUUUAUACAAAAGAAAAAAAUAAAAUAAAAAAUAAAAAAUAAAACCAUCAUUCUCAAAUUCUCCACUUUCAAUACCUUCUUUCCUUGACCUCCUCCUCCUCCCUUUUCCUGUAUCCUAUUUUAUAAUAAUCACAGCAAAUCCUUUCCAUAAUUCAUAAUAUUCUGUCAUCACAUUACCUUAAUCUAUUUUCAUCUUAUCUUAUUAAAAAAAAAAACACCUUAGAGUUUAAAACUUAAGUCUUAAUUUUUUAUCAACUUCUCCUUAACCAUAGCAUUCUUGCCUAAUUCUUUUAACAUUUUUAUAAGAGCCAAAUAAUUCCAUUUCAGCAUUUUGCUAACAUUCAUCAAUUUUGUAAAACAGUCCUAAUGAUAAAAAUAAAAAGAAAGAAUCCAGUCUUCAUCCAACGUCCUUUUCUCCUGGUCCCGGGUUUGUCAGUCCUUUAUCCUAUUAAUCUAGCACAUUAACCUGGCAGUCUUAUGUCCGAGGCCCUUAAGUCACUUCCAUGUCCCUUCCAUAGCUCUUCUUUAUAUUUCCUUUUAUUCGUGGGAACUCCAGCUUGGUAGUGUUUUUGACCUUUUUCAACAAAACAAUCCCUUUUCCAUAGUCCAAUCCAGGCUCAAUGUAAAAUUUACAAGCAUAUUCCAGAUUCCCUUCAAAGUUAGGAGCCCCCACAACUCCAGACAUCUGACGGCCCCUUUCCAGACUUGAAAAGACUAAAUCUCCCUGUGGAGGGGGGUCUAUCCAGCCCCCCAUUUCCAAACCAAACCAGAUUUUAUCUUUCCAAGUCUGAUUUUUUCCAAGUUCAUUUGUCAUUAUUCUUUUUAAAUCCAUUUGCUUUGGAAGGAGGGGCAAGUUCACACCAAACCCCUGAAAGCUGAAGCUCAAACAGCAUACAGGUGUGGGGUGGGGGACAAUUAUCUUCCUGGGGACCCAGUUCACUCCCAGACCCCUAACACUUCUUCUUGAUGCACCUUCUCCGGAUGGCUAGACCGUGCCUCGCUCCAGAUGUUCCAACAGCUGUAGCCCUGGAUACGUCAAGUUGGCUCAAGAAGGACAGCCAGUUUGCUGCUAUGCUUGUGUUCCGUGUGCAGAAGGGACAGUCUCCAUUUCGGAAGGUGGGUGAUCUCAGGGGAAAAGGAAACUCAUUGGGAGAGCAUAGACAGGGCAAAGCUUCACUCAGACACAUACUAUGAAGACACUAAAGACAUUUUUCGGAAUAUGGACCCUUGCUUGGCUUCUGUAAUAUUUUUUUUAAAAAUUAUUUAUACUUUGCAG